rnacentral:lncRNA from 1 species
GGGGUGCAAGGGACAAGGGAGCAGAGGAGGGGCUAGGCUGCAUCAGCCUCAGGGAGAAGGUCCCUAUUGGGGAGCAAGAACAUAAGUAGUGAAGGCAGCACUGGCAAAGAGGGGCCCUCCCUCAAAGACCAGAUGGUGCCCGCAUGGGAGGGUUCUGAGAGGCAAGGGGACAUGGCAGGAAGGCUAGCUGCAGAAGGGAUCAGGGAAAUGUGGGGGGAAGGCUGGAUACGGGGGGUGUGUGGAACCGGAGGCAGCCCAGGAGGUAGGACUGUGCUGGACUCUGGAGGCGCCGGGCUGCAGGCACUCUGAAGGAACUAGGAGCCUCAGGAGCCGGAGGACCCGCAUUCGGCCCCCGACCCCGACCUCCCUCCGGGCCUUCUCAGCGCCGCACCCCGCCCGAGGAUCUUAUGGGGUUGGGGCCACCUGGCCACCCUCCAACCCCGAAGCCACCCCAUCCCAAGCCUGCCCAGGAGAAAGCCCAUCCCCUCCCCCCGUCGAGUCUCCCGGUGCAAUUCCAGUCGGUCCCCCAGCAGGGCGGGGUACCCCCCCCAGCACCCCGCCAACCCCCCACGGCGAGCACUCACCGAGCUGCUCUGCCUGCCCGCCCGGCUCCGCUCCGGCUCGGGCUUGCGGCAGGCGGCGUGGCUGUGUUGCCCUGUGGCCCCGUGGCCAGGCCUGGGCGCUGAGCACGGCCCCCUCCCUCCUUCCGUGCGUCCUGCAGGGUCCCCCCCAGCCCCGCCCCCGCCGGCUGCCCCGCCCCCGCGGGCUACCGCAGCCGCUGCCAAGGCAACGGCGCGCCGCCAUCACGUGGUUGGCCCAUGGGGGGGGGGGGCGCGCCACGGGCCACGUGACUUGGCAGGCCGGGAGGGGAGAGGAGGAGAGGGGAGGGGAGAGGAGGAGAGGGGAGGGGAGAGGAGGGGAGGGAAAGGAAAGGGGGGGGCCUCGCUGCCCCUCCUGGGGGACCCCGGCGGCGUGGACCUACUAGUCAGGACCACCCGGGCCGGAAGCCGGGGAGCGGAAACCGGCAAAAGAUCUGGAGAUCCUUCAAGCCAAGGCCUGCAUCUCGCUCACCAUCAUCCCCACUGCUGAGCCAAGUACACUUAGGAACCCUUCAGAUUAAGCUUUUGGUCCUGUUCAACAAACAUUUGCUAUAUUCUGUGGAAUAAGAAAACUGAAAACUGCCUCAGGACCUGCCCCACAAUGUUCUCUUUACAGAAAUAUAUUAAAAUAUGGUAACUGUAGCUCACUGUAGUCAAGUAUGUGCCAAACAGUAGACAUAAAUGAGCUUCCACAGGGGAGAAGGCGCACCUGUUUCCAGAAACACCACCGAAGGAAAUGCUGCUCUCUCCACUCUCCUUCCAGGCAGCCUGGAGACGGACUGAGUUAUAUUCCUAUUUCCGAAAGUCAACAAAACGUUAACUCAUCUAACUCAACUGAAUAACUGGCUUUUUCCAAAAGACACAUGUCGGAAAAAAAGAAAGGAAACUUGAAGUAGUAACAGUCCUCGACAGGUUCCAAACCAGUGUUUCUGAAGGUAUGGAAGGGGGGACCUGCGGCAGAAGCUGCGGAGGCGGGGUGGGGGGGUGGUGUCUGAAAUGCCUGAGCUGUGAGGAGUCGGCCUCCAGGCCGGGCCAGGCAGUCUGGAUGUCUGAAGUGGACUCUACUGUUGUCUGGGGCAUCACAUCUGCGUCUCCAGCACACACAACUGUGUGCACCUGCUCAGGCUCUUCCUGCCACAGAGGCCGUUUUUCAGGUAUGAACAACUUCCCUGCUUGCUUUCAGGCACUGAGAUUUGUUCAGUCACCUUACGGGACAUCACUGAGCACCUGUGAUGUCCCAGGCCCUGUGCUGGCACUAGAGGUACAGCAAAGAACUGGACAGGCAGGUCCUCGCUCUCCGGUUGUGCUCAGUUGAGUGGGGGAUGUGAGGGCUGCUGGUGUGGCAGGGGGCUGCUGACCAGUAAACGAAGGAUGGAUGCUAGGAAGACAAGGCAACAGAACAGGGUGGGUGGAAAGCCGAGGCCUGACGGCACAGGAAGGAGCAGAGCAGGAGUGAGGGAAGUGGGGCACCGACCCAGGCUGAGGCGGAGGCUCCAAAGGGAAGCUGAAGCCACAAACUCAGAAGACAGCCACAAACUCAGAAGACAGCAGUCAGGGUGGUAUUUAAAGCCACGGGUCAGAUUAAGAUCUCCUGGGGCCUGAGUGUUGACCAUAAAAGGCAGUGCACUGGGUCACCCUAACAUUUAGGAUUUGAACAAAGAAGCAAGCCAGGGAAAGGCGGAAAGAAAGGCAGGAGGCAGUACUGUCAGGGUGCUAGAGGUUUUGGCUUCUAAAUGAUACAGAUGCCCCCAGGGGCUGGAUGUGGCAACACUGAAGGCUUUCAGUGGCAUAAUGGGGAUGAAAACUUGGGAAAGGUGGAAGCAAACAGAGAACUCUCUGGAAGCUGGGCUGAGAAGGGAGGAGAUAAAUGGGGUGGUGGUCUGCAGGAGAGCCUGGAGCCGGGGCUUUGCUGUUGUUGCACAUGGAGCUGCUUGCUGGUUGGUUGCUCUCCAUUGUACCUGGAGGGCAAGCCGGGCCGGGGGAUGAAGUGGGGCAUGAGGACUCAGUCUGAAUCUCUGCUUUCCCUCUGCUCUGGGAGACGGUUACCUGCUGUGGGGGAGGGCCGAGAAAGGACACCUUUUAGAAAAGCACCUUUUAGAUGGUGGGAGAUGAACAUAGUAGGGAAGACGUGAAGGAUAGGUGGGGAGUGCUGGUUCCCUUCCAUGUGACUUCUCUGAUCCUGCAUUCAAAGUGGGACUGAAGAGUUCAGCUCCUGAUCCCCCAGGUGAGAUAAAGUACUGUUCACACAGGGAACACAGCAGUGAGGCACAAUCCUUGCUUUAGGAAACGCUCCUCUCCAGAAGGCCAGGCUUGCUCAUGCACGUUCCCUCACUCUCCAAACACGCACUGGUUCUCAUUAUUCAUAGUAGUUAUGUUCCCUAAAGUCACUGUGGACACUGAGUGUUGAUUAGUGAAUACUGAACCACUGCUGCCUGGGGAAACAGGGGUGUUUCUGUGACAGCCCCCCCCCCCCCCCCCCCGUCACAUCAACCACCUGGCUGGUUCAGCUGGGGAAGCAUGUGACUUUUUUUUUUUUUAAGUUUAUUCUAUUUUAUUGGGAGGGGCGGCAGAGGGAGAGGGAGAAUCUCAAGCAGGCUCCACGCCAGAGGCUCAAUCCCACAACCCUGAGAUCAUGACCUCAGCUGAAAUCCAGAGUCAGAAGCUUAACCAACUGUCUGAGUCACCCAGGCGCCCUGAGCGUGUGACCCUUGAUCUAGGGGUUAUGAGUUCAAGCCCUAUGUUGGGUGUAGAGAUUACUUAAAAUAAAACCUUAAGAAAUAAAAAUUUAAAAACACUUGCAUUAAUAUGUAUUGAUUCAUUAAAGACGAAGUUGCAGCCAAGGGCACUGUAACUCAUGCCUGAACAAAGCUUAUCUAAGGCACAUCCGGCCUUCUUGUGUUUAGGACACUAGACAGUACUUCGAGUACUAUGCUUCAGGGCCAUUUAAAAAAUGGCAAAAUCAUCAAGGAAAAGCAAAAAAUGCAAAAAACCUGCCAUUAAAUCGACACGUUUGAGCUGGACAGGAAGGCAGAGCACUGCCUUGUUUGAACUCAGCUGGAAACACUGCAUUAGGCAACUUGAAUUUUUCACCAGUCUGUGCAUGUCUGCAAAUGACCAAAAAAGCACCAUGAGUACUCAUCUUGGGGUUACAAGUGUUAGUGAACAGGUGGAUUCACAAACAUAGAACUUGAAAACAAUAAGGGGCAACUAUAUUUAAAACUAUUAUAUGCCUUAUUAUACAUGCACGCAUGCACACGUACCAGGAGCACAGCUCUGGCACGGAGAGAGCCGCACUGGGCCUCCCUCCCAGCGGGUCUGGGUCACACACAGCUUCUCCAUGGAGCAGCACAGCACUAUGGGGCAGGGAUUGGUGGAUUGUGGGAGUCACACUGCUGGGGUUCAAAUCCCAGCUCUACCACUUACUUGCUGGGUGACCCGGGCAAGUUUCCAGACCUCUCUGUGUUUAUAAACUCGUUUGGUAAACCUGUAAGGGACAUCUAAUUGAAGGACAGAGUAUUCUAAUACAAGUAACUUUGGCUAACACAGGGCUGUCUCAUGGAGUGCUCAAUAGAAGUGUGGGGAGCGAGUAACUGAAUGAAAUAAAUCAGAAUUCUUAUACGUGAGGCUUCCUGAGACAACCAAGUUAUGCACACCUUUGUGGGUCAAGUCCUGAUUUUCCCCACCCACAAGCCAAUUAACAAGGGCAUUACUGAAUGAUUUUCUCCCCAUCAUGGCUUUUUUUUUGGGGGGGAAGGGGGGUCUCUCUGUAUCUCCCACUCCCUUCUCAAUGAUGACACCUAACUGUUCCCUUUUCUCAAACAACAAUACCCUGAAGACCGUCAUUCAACCUAAGGUAUUGGCAGCCCCUUAAAAAUUGCCUGAAAUUGCUAGACAUUUCCUACCCAAACAUCCUCUUCUGAAAACCUAGUAAACGUGUAGAACAUAAACUUGCAGCCUGGCAUCCUGUUAUCUGUUCCAGCACUCGCUCCCCCAUCCAACACACUUCUGCUUGGUGUC